AUGACCGAUAGUGAAAUAGUGCCGUGAGGGAAAGGUGAAAAGAACUUGAGAGUUUGAAAAGAAUCUAAAACUAAAUGUUGACAAUCUGUUGAAGCUUACAAAAAGUAACAACGUACCUUUUGCAUAAUGGAUCAACGAGUUUAUUUUAGUGGCGAGCUUAAGCUAAAUAAGUGUAGGCUAAAAGAUAUUAAGUUUUAAAAUGCUGUUUAGUCUCUAGAAUAAGACCCGAAACUAAGUGAUCUAACCAUGAACAGGUUGAAUUUAUAGCGGUAACGCUUUUUGGAGGACCGAACUCGUGUAUGUGGAAAAAUACUGAGAUGAUUUGUGGUUAGGGGUGAAAGGCCAAUCAAACUUAGAGAUAGCUGGUUUUCUGCGAAAUCUAUUUAAGUAGAGCGUUUAAAUACUUCAAAUUUAGGUAGAGCACUCAUUAAAUGAUGGGGACGUAAAGUUUUACUGAAUUUAGUGAAACUCCGAAUAAGAUUUGAAAGAAUUUAAGCAGACAGACUUAAGAUGCUAAGAUCUUUAGUCAAAAGGGAAACAGCCCAGAUUAUUAGUUAAGGUCCUUAAGAAUAGUUAAGUGAAAAAAAAAUAAAAACAUUACAACAACCGACAGGUAGGCUUGGAAGCAGCCAUCCUUUAAAGAAAGCGUAACAGCUCAUUGGUUUAGUUUUUUUAUUUUUAAAAUGUAUAAGGACUAAAACUAUUCACCGAAACUAUAAAUUAAAAUUAUAUUUUAAUGGUAGCAGAACGUUCUGUAGUCUGUAGAAGAUUUAUGGUUACAUAAGUUGGAAGAAUCAGAAGUGAAAAUGUUGAUAUAAGUAGCGAUAAACAUUGUGAAAAACAAUGUCGCCUAAAAUUGAAGGUUUACAAAGAAAGGCUAAUCCUCUUUGUUAGUAAAUCGGUCCCUAAGAUUUAAACACGAAUGUUUUGAUUAAUGGGUAAAGAGUUAUUUCUUUUAUAAAUUUUUUUUGAAUAUAAGUGACAAAAUAUGAAUUAAAUUUUUAUUAUAUGGUUUUAAUAAAAGUUUAAUAGUAUUUUCAAGAAAUAGCUUAUUAAAAAUUUUUACCGUACUUUAAACCGACACAGGUCAAUAAAUUGAGUAAAUUAAGGCGAUUAAGAUAAUUGUGUUGAAGGAACUCGGCAAAAUGAUUCCGUAACUUAGGGAGAAGGAAUAACUUUUUAGGGAAACCUAAAAAAGUUGUCACAAAAUCGAGGACAGCGACUGUUUAAUAAAAACACAGGUCUCUGCAAAUUUGUAAAAAGAUGUAUAGGGACUGACGCCUGCCCAGUGCUGUAAAACUAAAAGUUAAAGUUUUGGCUUUUAACUAUAACUCUCAGUAAACGGCGGCUGUAACUCUGACGGUCCUAAGGUAGCGAAAUUCC
rnacentral:rRNA from 14 species